rnacentral:misc_RNA from 1 species
GAAAUGCGAUAAUUAAUGUGAAUUGCAGAAUUCAGUGAAUCAUCGAGUCUUUGAACGCACAUUGCGCCCCCUGGUAUUCCGGGGGGCAUGCCUGUCCGAGCGUCAUUGCUGCCCUCAAGCACGGCUUGUCUGUUGGGCUUCCGUCCCUGGCAACGGGGACGGGCCCAAAAGGCAGUGGCGGCACCAUGUCUGGUCCUCGAGCGUAUGGGGCUUUGUCACCCGCUCCCGUAGGUCCAGCUGGCAGCUAGCCUCGCAACCAAUCUUUUUAACCAGGUUGACCUCGGAUCAGGUAGGGAUACCCGCUGAACUUAAGC